rnacentral:rRNA from 1 species
CCGCUGUUUACCAAAAACAUCGCCCAAAACAUAAGGUCCUGCCUGCCCAGUGACCACGUGUUCAACGGCCGGUAUUUUAACCGUGCAAAGGUAGCGCAAUCACUUGUCCUUUAAAUGGGGACCUGUAUGAAUGGCACGACGAGGGCUUGACUGUCUCCUCUCUCCAGUCAAUGAAAUUGAUCUCCCCGUGCAGAAGCGGGGAUAAAACCAUAAGACGAGAAGACCCUAUGAAGCUUUAGACGCCAUGACAGAUUAUGUUAAACAACCCUUUUAAAGGAAUAAACCUAGUAACCCCUGUCCAAAUGUCUUUGGUUGGGGCGACCGCGGGGAAAUAAAUAACCCCCAUGUGGACUGAGAGAACUAACUCUCUUACAACCCAGAGCUACAGCUCUAAGUAACAAAAUUUUUGACCUAAAGGAUCCGGCAAUGCCGAUCAACGAACCGAGUUACUCUAGGGAUAACAGCGCAAUCCCCUUUUAGAGUCCCUAUCGACAAGGGGGUUUACGACCUCGAUGUUGGAUCAGGACAUCCUAAUGGUGCAGCCGCUAUUAAGGGUUCGUUUGUUCAACGAUUAAAGUCCUACGUGAUCUGAGUUCAACGGA